GAUGAAGAACGCAGCGAAAUGCGAUAAGUAGUGUGAAUUGCAGAAUUCAGUGAAUCAUCGAAUCUUUGAACGCACAUUGCGCCCCUCGGUAUUCCGUGGGGCAUGCCUGUUCGAGCGUCAUUUAACCCCUCAAGCCUAGCUUGGUAUUGGGUGCUUGUCCCGCCUCUCGCGCGGCGACUCACCUCAAAGUCAUUGGCAGCCCGCAUCUCGCCGGCCGUGAGCGCAGCACAGACGCGCUCUUGGCAACGACGGAUCGGCUCUCCAAAAGCUUAUUUCAACCACUGACCUCGGAUCAGGUAGGGAAACCCGCUGAACUUAAGCAUAUCAAUAAGCGGAGGA
rnacentral:misc_RNA from 1 species